UAAAAUACAAAUAAUUUUGAAAUUACGUUUAAAGUUUUGGUUAUGAAAAAAAUACUUUGAAACUUUAAAUUUAGAGUUUUGCAAACUUUAAAAUGUUAGAUAGAUAGUUUUUUUGGAGAUGCAUUUAGUGGUUAUGGUAGUAACUCAGAAAAUGAAAAAUCUAUACUUUUAUACUCCCUCCGUUUUUUAAUAUAAGUCGUUUUACAGUUAUACACGUAGAUUAAGAAAACCAUUAAUUUCUUAUAUUUUCUAGACAAAAACAUCAUUAAUUAUUUACCUAACCACAAUUCAACCAAUAUAAAAAUAGAAGAUAUAUUACCAUUGGUCAUACAACAUUAAUUAUUAAUAAAUUUUACAUAGAAAACCGAAAACGACAUAUAAUUUGGAACAAAAAAAUUUCUCUAAAACGACUUAUAUUAAAAAACGGAGGGAGUAGUACCUAACUUUAACGAUGGACCACUUAUAUUCGAGUCCUUAGCAUAAAAUGAUUCUCCUCGAAAUCCGUUUACUUUCUUCAUUAUUUUUUCCUUUUCAGUUUUGGCGUUUUCGUAAUACUUUUGUCUUCAAUCUUGAAAGCUAUUAGUAUAAAAACUUAUAAACACAUCACAUGCAAUGAAUUAAUACGAAUACAUAACCAGAAUGACAAAUUUUCAAUGAAUAUUUAAUACCAGUAAGUACUACUCCG
rnacentral:lncRNA from 1 species